GAUGAACGCUAGCGGCAUGCCUAAUACAUGCAAGUCGAGCGCUUAUCGGUAUAUCCUUGCAUCAUACAAGUGAGGGGCGAACGCGUGAGUAGUAUGCGGACUACCUUCUACAGGAGGAGAGCUCUCAGUAACGAGGAUAAGCUAAUACUAAAUAUACCUAAAUGUAUCUUUACGCAAAGAUAGACGCAAGUCGGGCUACGCUGAGCGAGCGACCGGUGGUGCAUUAGUUAGUUGGUGGGGUAAAGGCCUACCAAGCCAAUAAUGCAUAGCCGAGUUGAGAGACUGAUCGGCCACAUUGGGACUGAGACACGGCCCAAACUCCUACGGGAGGCUGCAGUAGGGAAUCUUCCACAAUGGGCGAAAGCCUGAUGGAGCAACGCCGCGUGUGUGAUGAAGGCUUUCGGGUCGUAAAGCACUGUUGUAUGGGAAGAACAGCUAGAAUAGGAAAUGAUUGUAGUUUGACGGUACCAUACCAGAAAGGGACGGCUAAAUACGUG
rnacentral:rRNA from 1 species